ensembl:lncRNA
GCUAUAACUGCUGCUUUCAUCUUGAGCAGUCUUGCCAUGUCAUGCCACGGUACAUUAAACCGAAAAAUAGCUUAUUAAAUCAAGUGUGUGGAAUACAGUUCUACUAAAUGAGCUACAAUAAGUACAACCGUAACAAAUAUUGUUCCCCGCGCCACGGUUGCUGCGGGUGCCUACCCAGCAUUGACGCGAAAGUCGGGGAGCCGAGCACAGUGUAUUGACCAGCAUGUUCAAGAAGCAGCCAGUGUUUCAGCGGGGGAAAAGGAUAAUGGGAGAAAGAUGAGAAGGAAAACAAUAGCAAAGCGCAUUUUCGACCUCGAAUAUGAAGAAGAGGAGGAGGAAGACCCUAAAUAUGAAGACUUUGGCAUCACGACAUCGCACAGCCAGCCUCCAUGUGUACUAGUGUCAGACAACCCCAGUGUCGAACGCAUUGAGGAUGGCGACUUCCUGGCAGAGGGUCCCGGAGGCCUACAGUCACGCUCGAAGGCUGACCUGGUUGCCAUGGUGCUGAGCAUGCAGCGAGAGAUGGACAACCUGAGGGAGCAAAUCAGAUGCCUCACAGCGUGUGGGAAGUUGGCACGUAACCUGGAGACCCUGAUCGAGAGGACGGAGGUGUGGUCGAGCAGCACGGACCGGAGAACUACCUCUCCCAGCAUGCCUGAGAUCCUGGUGAGGAGUGGUGCCAUGACAACGUCGGCCCUGCUGGCCUCUCCAGGGGUGCUGAACGGGUGCUGGGCGGCCAAACUAGAGCCCCCCCACCCCCACCAGAAUGGAUACCCUCCGGGGUCUCAUGAGGGGGGUUCCCAGAUCAACGGACCACCCCUCUAUCAGGAGUUCAUCACUGCGGAGCUGCUUGACCGCUGUAACACGGGGACCACUGCCCAGAAACUGACCAAUGACCUGCUCCGGGGCCUCUAUGAGAGGGACUGCCUGGCCUCUCACUCCAUCUCCGGCAUCGUCAACAACAAGAGGGGCCAACCCAAGCCUGCCCUGCCUGCAGACGAGAUCCAGGCAAUACUGAGAGCGGUGCAGCACUACUUCCCAGGGAAGACGGACUCGGAGAUCAAGGGCUACAUCCGCCAGAAGCUGCAGAACGAAGCCAAGCGGCUCCGCAAGAAGCCUCACCUGGCCGUGAAGGUGGAGCCAGAGGCCGGGUCAGAGGGGGCGGAGAGUACUUUCUACAUCUAAGGGGAGUGAAGUGCUCCACCCCUGUCCAGGUUAAAGUGCAAUUAUGGGAGGGAGACUCACAUAAUAACUGCUGUGAGAGGGAACCAAAAUGGAGCAGCCUUAUCAACACCAGUCUAGUCUAUCUGUUUGUCUGUCCAUUCCCAGCCAUGUCUCUGGUCCGGGAGAGAAAUAGGCUAGUGAGGGAGGAGUCUAUUUGUCUGACAACGUGAUCAUUCCAGGGGAAGUAUUAGGGACUCCGUGUCUGAUCGAGACUAGUUACUGCUCAGGUGAAGUUAGAUGAUACUGUAGCUUAUUCUUCCUCUGCCCUCUGGCAUCGUUCUCAAGCCUCAGCUAGCCAGCCAGCAGUAGUAGGCCUAGUAGAUGGCAAGUGAUUUGUAUCCAAGUUUCGUACUCUUGUUUCUCUGAAGGAGGUGGCAGUCAGUCGGUGCUCUGCAGGGAAGUCGACAACAUAGCCGUCAGUGAAGCUGCGCUGCACUCUGUGUCACUUCAGUUUGAUUUACAGUGUUGUCAUUGACCUCGUGAAAUGAACCUAGCCUUAGUAUUGAAUCAAUUACAAUGUUGCUGAAUAAAAAAUGAUUUUGUUUUUCCCCAAAGCAUCAUUGUGCUUUUUUUUACACUUAAAAAAAACCAUUAUUCUGUCAGAACUUGACGAAACUAGAACUGAUACUUACACGUCAUGUUAUCAUAGCAGUAAUACCCUCAAGACAUUUUAGAAAUAUCUUCGUUUUUAUAUCUAUGGUAUCUAAUAAAACAUAACAUUGAAAUGAUUUUAAAAUGAA